rnacentral:rRNA from 1 species
UGGUGCUGGCGAGUGGCGAACUGGUGAGUAACGCGUAAGAAUCUACCCUCUGGUGGGGGAUAACUCAUGGAAACAUGGGCUAAUACCGCAUGAAGCCGAAAGGUGAAAGGAGAAAUCCGCCAGGGGAUGAGCUUGCGUCCCAUUAGCUAGUUGGUGGGGUAAAGGCCUACCAAGGCGAUGAUGGGUAGCUGGCCUGAGAGGGUGGUCAGCCACACUGGGACUGAGAUACGGCCCAGACUCCUACGGGAGGCAGCAGCUAAGAAUCUUCCUCAAUGGGGGAAACCCUGAAGGAGCGACACUGCGUGCAGGAUGAAGGCCCUUUGGGUUGUAAACUGCUUUUGUAGGGGAGAAAUAACCAUAUGGGAUGAUAGUACCCUACGAAUAAGUCCCGGCUAACUACGUGCCAGCAGCCGCGGUAAAACGUAAGGGGCGAACGUUGCUCGGAAUUACUGGGCGUAAAGGGCCAGUAGGUGGCUUUAUAAGUCAGUUGUCAAAUACCUAUGCUCAACGUAGGAGAGGC